UACAGAGGUCCCAAGCGUUGUUCGGAUUCAUUGGGCGUAAAGGGUGCGUAGGCGGCGCGGUAAGUCGGGUGUGAAUCUCGGAGCUUAACUCCGAACUGCAUUCGAUACUGCCGUGCUUGAGGACUGGAGAGGAGACUGGAAUUUACGGUGUAGCGGUGAAAUGCGUAGAUAUCGUAAGGAAGACCAGUGGCGAAGGCGGGUCUCUGGACAGUUCCUGACGCUGAGGCACGAAAGCCAGGGAGCAAACGGG
rnacentral:rRNA from 1 species